GUUGUAAAGGGCUCUGUGGUUGAUACCCGAGGUUCCAAGUGUGAAUCCUAAUUGAUUCCCAUUUCUAUCUAAACUAGUGUAGAGACCCACGCGAUGCAGCGGGUAGAUAAUAAAAAUAAAUUUUUAAUAUUUUAAUAAAUUUUAUAUUUGCAGCUUAUAGGAAGCUAUAUCAUGUUAAGCACAGUCAAUUUGCAUGACUAAAUUCAGUUGUUAAAAAAAUAAAAUAAUAGCUAGAAGUAUAUGAAAUACAUAAAUAAUAACUUAACGUAUCUGGCUUAAGAAAAUUUUGGUUGGCAUUUCAGGCUCCAAUCUCCGCAUCAUACUUUUUAAUCUACGAAAGAAAUUUUGCCCACAACAGUGUCUACUUAAAAAAAUGAUCAUAAUAUAAAAAUAAAACAAAAAACAUCAAUCUUAAAAAAAUUAAUAUUUUUUUGGAGCACUUCUCUUACUCAUCCAAAUCUCAUACAUCUUCUUAAUCUUCAGCUGGUAGUUGCUCCGCGUGCCGAGUCAUUUCUGGAUUUCUAUUGUAACCUAUGAACAAACACCUUAUUUGCAUCACCAAACUGCGAUAUUUAAACCGAUACAGCCUUGCCAUCACAUCAACCUUAGAAAUCCUUAUUCUUAAACAAUUUGAUUUAUCAAGAAGUUCCUGCGAUUCUUGAGAAGCGAGCUCCCGCGCAACGUUGCCGCCAAGAGAAGGCUAGGA
rnacentral:lncRNA from 1 species